GUGCUGGCUUCGGCAGCACAUAUGCUAAAAUUGGAAUGAUAUGGAGAUUAACAUGUCCCCAGUGCAAGGAUGACAUGCAAAUUCGUGACGUGUUAUGCAUUUCA